ACCUUUUUAGUAUAGUGGUAAGUAUCCUCGCCUGUCACGUGGGAGCUCGGGGUUCGAUUCUCCAUCGGAGAGGGAG